GAUGAACGCUAGCGGCAGGCCUAAUACAUGCAAGUCGAGCGGCAAGUCGAGGAGUAAUCUAAGACCUAGAGCGGCGCACGGGUGCGUAACGCGUAUGCAACCUACCUUAUACUGGGGGAUAGCCCGGAGAAAUCUGGAUUAAUACCCCAUGGCACAUAUUGAUGGCAUCUGAGAUAUGUUAAAGAUUUAUUGGUAUAAGAUGGGCAUGCGUCUGAUUAGCUAGUUGGCGAGGUAAAGGCUUACCAAGGCCACGAUCAGUAGCUGGUCUGAGAGGAUGAUCAGCCACACUGGGACUGAGACAGGCCCAGACUCCUACGGGAGGCAGCAGUGAGGAAUUUUCCGCAAAUGGGCGAAAGCCUGACGGAGCAAUGCCGCGUGAAGGAAGAAGGCCCGUGGGUCGUAAACUUCUUUAUCAGAGAAGAAUAAAUGACGGUAUCU
rnacentral:rRNA from 1 species